UACGAAGGGGGCUAGCGUUGUUCGGAAUCACUGGGCGUAAAGCGCACGUAGGCGGAUCUUUUAAGUCAGGGGUGAAAUCCCGAGGCUCAACCUCGGAACUGCCUUUGAUACUGGGGAUCUCGAGUCCGGGAGAGGUGAGUGGAACUGCGAGUGUAGAGGUGAAAUUCGUAGAUAUUCGCAAGAACACCAGUGGCGAAGGCGGCUCACUGGCCCGGGAACUGACGCUGAGGUGCGAAAGCGAUGGGGAGCAAACAGGGAUUAAGA
rnacentral:rRNA from 1 species